AUUCCAGCUCCAAUAGCGUAUAUUUUAGUUGUUGCAGUUAAAAAGCUCGUAGUAGAAUUUCUGGUGGGGGAAUGCAGUUCAAGCUAUGCUUGAUACUCGCACUCUCCGGCCAUCUUUGAGUGGAGCCUGUCUGGCAUUAAGUUGUCGGGCUGGGGAUGCUCAUCGUUUACUGUGAAAAAAUUAGAGUGUUCAAAGCAGACUUAUGUCGUUGAAUAUAUUAGCAUGGGAUAAUAAGAUAAGACUUCGGUACUAUUUUGUUGGUUAGGUGCCGUUGUAAUGAUGAACAGGGACAGUUGUGGGUAUUCGUAUUCACUUGUAAGAGGUGAAAUUCUUAGAUUAAGGGAAGACGAACUACUGCGAAAGCAUUUACCAAGGAUGUUUUCAUCA
rnacentral:rRNA from 1 species